rnacentral:lncRNA from 1 species
UUUUUUUUUUUUUUGGUCUUUUUGUCUUUUUGCCUUUUCAAGGCCCUCACCCAUGGCAUAUGGAAGUUCCCAGGGAAAGCGUCGAAUCGGAGCUGUAGCCACCAGCCUACGCCACAGCCACAGCAAUGAGGGAUCUGAGCAGCAUCUGUGACUUACACCACAGCUCACGGCAACACCGGGUCCUUAACCCACUGAACGAAGCCAGGGAUCAAACCCGCAACCUCAUGGUUCCUAGUUGGAUUCAUUAACCACUGAUCCAUGAUGGGAACUCCCAGGAAAGACUGAAAUAGGUGAAGCAUAACACUUAAUUCUCAGUCCAUAUCUCUAUAAGAGUAUUCCAAAGUUUUAUUAGUUUGUGGCCAAUUUGUUACCCAAUAAAGCAGACUAAAGUCAAUCAGUAAGUAUUUCCUGAGGUCCUACUCUGCCUAGUGCUGACCUCAGAAUGAGUAGAAAACACAACUUUUCCCCAAGAGCCUCACCUGUGGCCCUUUCUCCAGCUGAAAAUCAGUUGCUGGUUUCUCUCCUGGCUUGGGCAUUAGUGGGCAUUAGUGGGCAUUAGUGGGCAUUAAUGGGAAGAAAAUCCAAAGUGCAUUGACAAAGUCCCUCUUGCUCAGUUCUUCUGUAUACAUAAAAAUUAGCAUAUUGAAUGACAGUAAAAAAUAAAAAGAGCAGACUGAUGGGCAUAACAACAAGGAUGAAUCUCAGUAAUAUUAAAUGAGGGAAUUCCCUGGUGGCUAAGGAUUUGGUGUGUCACUGCUGUGCCAUGGGUUUGAUUCCUGGCCUGGGAACUUCCCCAUGCCACAGACACAGCCAAAAAUAUAAAUACAAAAAUAAUAAAACUAAUAGGAAAUGAAAAAACUGAGUCACAAAAAAGGAAUACAUACUGCAUAAUUCCAUUUAUGUUAAGUGUUAGAAAAUUUAAAAUCUAUAGCUAUAGAAGACAGAAAGAGGUUGUAUGGGGAUGGAAAGUGAUGCAGAGAUAAGCAGGACAGGGGAUUACAAAGAAGCACAAAGAGUUCCCAUUGUGGCUCAGCAGAUUAAAAAUCCAACAUAGUCUCCAUGAGGAUAUGGGUUCAAUCCCUGGCCUUGCUCAAUGGGUUAAAGAUCCAGUGUUCCACAAGCUGCAGUGUAGGUCAUAGAUGCAACUCUGAGGUGAUGUUGCCAUGGCUGUGAUGUAGGCCAGUGGCUGUAGCUCCAAUUUGACCCCUAGCCUGGAAACUUAAAGGUACAGCUGUAAAAAUAAAUAAUAAUAAUAAUAAAAAGAACAAAGAAGCAUAUGGAAACUUUGGUUAGUGGUGGGUAUGUUCAUUACUUUGAUUAUGUGAUCACAGGGUACAUAUAUGUUGAAAAAUGAUCAAAUUGUACUCUUUAGCUAGGGGCAGUUCAUUUUAUAUCUAUUAUACAUCAACUACAAUUUUUACUGAAAGCCCAAAACAUGGAACAUUAGCCAAAAAAGACAACUCAGGUGAGGUGCUAUAGGUGUGGGAGGGGGAAGUGUUGAGGAAACCUAAAAAUGCCAUCAAGGGGGUAAGGAAAUCGGUGAGGAUGCCUGUGGGGAGGGUCUCUGAAGACAGACUUUUAUCUAUUUAUCAAUUUUGCCUGAGCAGCAGAUGAAUCUAAACAUCAAGUUUAACUAAAUGUUCCUUUUAGCUACCAUCCAUCAUUUUUUAGGCCUGUUUUAAUUUUUUUUUAGCCUGUAAAACCAUGCUGACUUGCCUGGUUGUUAAAUCACUUAGAAAACGUAGAAUGAUGACGCUGACCAUUAGGAAGAAUUUGCAAACAGGCCCAGACAAAAAUGUGAUUACAUACAUGUUUGGCUCCCUGGGUUCAAGAAGAACAAGUGGUGACCAGCUUUUCCAUUAGCUUUUGAAAAAUAUAAAAUUAUUGACACUCAUAUCAAUAUGGAAGAAAUAAAAGAAGUCAUAAGAGCACACAAUGAAAAUUAUUGGAAAGUUGACUUUAUUUUACAACAGGAGGACUGGAAAUCACAUGCCAUCUAAAAGAUAACCACAAGAACAUAAAGUAAAAUUUAAACUUUCAACUAUGUCUGAAAUCUAUAAAGCUUCAGUCAGAUCUACUAUUGGCAAGCCGCAAGUACUUUGUGUGACACAGGGACAAAGGCAAAACAGUCCUUCAGAAUCGGAAUACUAGGCUUAGCUGCUGAUGUAAUAGGGAACAAUGAUUAAACUAUCAAUCAAACAGAUUUUUUAAAUAUGUUACAUGUCAUAGCCAGGGAUUUCAAGUCCAGGACAAAAUCUGGUGUUAGUUACAACACAGAUGAAUUGGGUGGUCUCUUAGUACACAGAUGAUCACCAAAAUCAGCAUAAUGUGGAAAUCAAUUCAAGGACUCCUCUCUUCAUCUCAGCUCAUGAAGAUUCCGAAUUAAUAAAAGCAGUGUUAUAAAUUUAUGAGCCAUGACCCUGCAAAGUGUUUUGUGCCAUUUUCCAAGUUAUUUACCAUGUUUCAAAGCAAAAUCAUUUAAUAAAGUCUCCAUUCUCUAACUAUACCUAAAUAUCUUUACUUUUUAAACAAUUGAAUUUGUGGUUAUUUUUUCCAGAUGCACGGCACUUCCAAAAUUAAAAAAAGUAAAUAAAAAUGUUAAACUGGGUAAAUUUCAUCCAUGUACCAUCUGGAGAGCCAGAAGUAAUGGAGUUGGUCUCGGUGCCAUUUCUCUCUAGAGCCUAUUUUAUGCUCACUCACAUCCAGUUCAAUAUCCCUCCCUAUAUGAGAAUGUUUAAUUGAAAUAUUACAAGCUCCCAUGUGAUCACUUCCUCCUCAAGUUCGUUUCCAGGAGAAACUCUUUCUCUGCAGCUGAAUGUUGUAGGCUGCUUAUCAGAAAAUGAAAACACAGUAUGAUUCUCUUUAUGUUAACAACUGCCAGAAUCCAAAUCCAAAUUUCUUGCUGGAAUAUCAUAAGCUGUUUGGCCUUGGUGCCUAAAAGGAGGGAAAAUUUCUCCUUCUGAAGUAUGACUUCUGUUUCUUAGCAAGUAUUCUAUUUCAAUGUGCAAGCCACUGUAAGACUUUUUAGAAGUGGAUAAAAGGUACAACUAAAGUAAAUGUAAUUGAGAGACAAAAAUUAAAUGUCCUUUCAUGUUUAUAACCUACAGCAGCUUGCAUCAUCCCACAAGUAUUUUGUGUUCAUUAUUGUGUGUCAGGUACUGCAUUAGGGCCCUUAUAUGGAGAUGAACAAAACUUGGUUCCACCUCAAAAGUCUCAUAGGCUAGUGAAGGAAACAGGCAAGAAAAAUGAAAUUUCUAUGGGUGGUUGCAGAUCCUUACAAGAAGGAAAGCAUUUGAGGGAUCCCAAUAUCUCAUUUCAUCUAAAGCCACAGCCACUUAGAAAGACAGUUAUUACAAAUGACAGCAUCCUUCUGCUUUGUCCUCCAAUUAUUUCUCCAACCUUAAUACUCCCUUUCAGUCAACAUCCACUCACCUCUUCUCACAUGAAGACAGUGGCCCCAGUUUCAAAUAUUCUUCUGCAAUCCUCAGACUAGAUCACAUGCUCCAUGGUUCAGAAAUGCAAUCACCAGAUUCAUUCCUACCUUGACACACUGACUCAGGCUGUCACCCGCCACCCAAAAGGCAUUUUUGCAUCUUCACAAAUUCCUCACCCAUCCAAAUCUUAAGUAACCUUCAAGGCCCAAAAUAAGUACCAUUUUUUUCCCCUUGUUCUACUUCCUGUUCCUAAAAUGGUCUACCCUCUCUGAACUCCUGAUGCACUUGUGAGAAUUUAUACCCACUUUUACCUCCAGUCAUCAUAUAUAUUAGUUUUACAUCUGCAACUAAACUCUUAACUUCCUUUAGGAACCACAUGUUCCAAUAAUGCUCAGAACAUGGCAAAUAUUCAAAUGUGUGUNAUAUAGGUUAAUCCUAAUUUACUCAGAAAUUGAGGCAUAGUUAGGCUAUAAUUUUCCCAAGAUAACAGAGCUAAAUAAUAAACACACGUUAAUAGCUACCAUUUAUCAAAUACCAAUAUGCCAAGUACUGUGUUAUUCAAGAUUAGACCAAAAAAUAGAUUCUGGGUUCCCCAGCUUUCAAGAAGGCAUUUAUAUCACAUUUUACUCAAAUCUACCAUAUUAUUAUGACAAUAAGUUUUAUUUGUUGAGUAUCGACUUUGUGCCAAAAACUGUAUAUCAGCUAUUUCAUAUAAUCUUCAUAAAACCAUAUGUAGUAAAUAUGAUUACAUUCCUUCAAAAAGGUCAAAGAACUUGGCAUGUGCUCACUGCAUGGGAUUGAGGCAAGAUUCUAACUCGGGUCUCUCUGACUUUAAAUCUUUUGUUCUUUCCCACUUUGCACCACCUAAGAAUUACCAAAAAAGUCAAUUCUUACAUCAACCCAUUAAUUAAUAAAAAGUGUAGGAGAUGUGUUCAUCCAAUUCAUGUAAGUCAAUUCUUACAUCAACUCAUUAAUUAAUAAAAAGUGUAGGAGAUGUGUUCAUCCAAUUCAUAGCUCAUAUCUAGGUCCACAUGAUGUAGCACAAACUGGAGAGUCUGCAACUUUUCAUAGCUUUUUAGUUCUGGAGAUGUUAAACUUCCCAGUUAUCCAGCAUUUGUAAGAAUUGUAUGUCAGUUACCUGAGUGAUCCAGGUUUUCUGGACAAGGAGCAACUAAGAACUGUAUUUUGUAUGGUUCCAAAUCCCACACCUGGUGAUACAGACUUUAAAUUGUUUUGCUACAAUGGUGUGUGUGUGUGUGUGUGUGUGUGUGUGUGUGUGUGUGUGGUUUGUUUAAAUAAACUGGUAGCAGAUACUCUAGAUUUCAUCCUGAAGAGCUUAUUCCUUUGUCUUUUUCCUCUGGUUAAAUCAUUGUAUUUAAUUGUCUAAUUAAUUGCAUACAUUUGCAAGUGGGAUUCCCCCCUCACCCAAAUCUAUUGCUAGUUUUUCAAGUGGUGUAAUAAUUACACUGGAUCAGGGAAAUUUAUUAUAGAAUGCAGUUCCUCUACACAUGCACACAUUUUGUUAAUGCAAUUGGCAAUUAUUUACUUAUUUAUUAUCAAUAGUGCCUCAAAGUCAGUGGGACCUUAAUUACUUCCUAAUUAUCCAGACCCUCUAUUUCUUUAUAAGAUGGACUUGAAAAAAGCAGUUCAAUAGCUCAGACAUUUUACAACUGACAUCGACUUCUCCUCCCUCCUCAUUUAUUGAUGGGCCAUUCUCUCUCUUGUAUUUCUUUUUCCCUGAUAAAGUUGUAAAUG